GUGACAGAGUGAGAGAGGGUGUGACUAGUGGCAGAGAGAGGGAGGGGGUGACUAGUGACAGAGUGAGGGAGGGAAGGGGUGACUAGUGACAAAGGGAGGGAUGGGGUGACUAGUGACAGUCACCACCUCCUUCACUCUGUCACUAGUCACCCCCUCCCUCACUCUGUCACUGUGUCACCCCCUUCCUCACUCUUUCACUGUGUCACCCCCUUCCUCACUCUCACUAGUCACUAGUCACGCCCUCUCUCACUCUGUCACU